rnacentral:lncRNA from 1 species
ACUCUGGCAGGUGGAGAGGACUGAAAGUGUGUCUAAUUGGUUUCCUUAAUAAGCGCUUAGAUUGACCUGCAGUUGCGGUGCCAUGCAUGUACCAGUUCCAUACCCACAAGACUCCGGCUACUUGAGGCGGCUUACACAGCUUGCAUUCCAAGCUGGCCUCAGGUUGAUUACCUAAACAAAAUGGCCUUGAAAUUUCGAUCCUCUUGAUGCCACCUAUUGAGUCUGCGUCAUCACAAUGGGCUCUAGGAGGUGCUGGUGAAGGCACCCAGGGCUUUCUUCAGACUAGUCAUGUACUAACAACUGAACUACUUCUCCAGCCCCAAGAACUACAGUUUUCAAAGGCGGUGGUGUGCACAUUACACGAAUAGGCAGAUCUCAACGUAAAGCGCCAAAUAAAAGGCGACUCCCUUC